CCAGAGGAAGAAUGGACCCUUGCAAGGACACAGCUACCGCCCAGGGGUGCCUGGCGAGACAGAUUCUGCAAAUGUUUGUCAGCUCAGAGCCAGGUCUAGAAUGUGGCCUCUCUGGAGCUCGCUUGUUGGCUCCCCCAGAUGCAUCAUGGAAGGAGUUCCGCAUGCUCUGAGACAGUUUCUUCCCAGGAGGGGAUCAGCUUACUGGUGUGGACAAGAUCAUGUGUGUGUUUGUGCGCGCGCGCGCGCGUGUGCGCGUGUGCGCGUGCGCGUGCAGAGACCAAGGCAGUAAGAGACCCAACUAAGACUACCCACAGAUUUCUAGGCUAAGCAAUCUGAUGCGCUGGUAACAGUAUCUGGCACACAGGAGUAGUUAUGGCAGUGGGUUUUAUUACUGAGGCAAAGACACGGGGGGGGGGGGGGCGAAGAAGAGGGGCAGCAAGAGGUAGAGAAUAAUUUUGGUUUUGAAGCCUCCUCAAUUUGACAAAAGGCUGAGCUUAGAGAAUGUGCCUGGCAGCAGGCACAGGGAGGGCACUGAGACAUCACGCUGAAGGAGCUGCAGUGUGGCUCAGCCCGCCA
rnacentral:lncRNA from 1 species